UAGGGAAUCUUCGGCAAUGGGGGCAACCCUGACCGAGCAACGCCGCGUGAGUGAAGAAGGUUUUCGGAUCGUAAAGCUCUGUUGUAAGAGAAGAACGGGUGUGAGAGUGGAAAGUUCACACUGUGACGGUAUCUUACCAGAAAGGGACGGCUAACUACGUGCCAGCAGCCGCGGUAAUACGUAGGUCCCGAGCGUUGUCCGGAUUUAUUGGGCGUAAAGCGAGCGCAGGCGGUUAGAUAAGUCUGAAGUUAAAGGCUGUGGCUUAACCAUAGUACGCUUUGGAAACUGUUUAACUUGAGUGCAGAAGGGGAGAGUGGAAUUCCAUGUGUAGCGGUGAAAUGCGUAGAUAUAUGGAGGAACACCGGUGGCGAAAGCGGCUCUCUGGUCUGUAACUGACGCUGAGGCUCGAAAGCGUGGGGAGCGAACAGGAUUAGAUACCCUGGUAGUCCACACCGUAAACGAUGAAUACUAGGUGUUAGGAGGUUUCCGCCUCUUAGUGCCGAAGCUAACGCAUUAAGUAUUCCGCCUGGGGAGUACGACCGCAAGGUUG
rnacentral:rRNA from 1 species